CCACCCAUAUAUAAGGACUCGAGGAGUGUAUGAUUUUGCAAGAACCCAUCUGGAAGCAGCCUCACAUCAAUCCUUCCAAUAUAAAGGUAUGUGAUAGAAGUAAAUUUCAUAACUGACAUCAGUAACGAAACAUUGCCUCCAUCGAUGAGUAAGCUUUUGACGGAAGGUAUAAUUGGUAUUUCGGUCAACAAGGGGCAAAGAACUACAGAUAAUACUUUAAGACGAGGAAAACUACACGGAGCCCAUUGCUCUAGUCUCUUCAUUGAAAUAAAUGUCAGUCCCUCCAAAGAUGGGAAUGGAUUUUGCUCAUCUCCAUACACAUGGCUGUCAAUACACUUCACACCAUCCAUUCCACCUAGUUCAAGAUUCUUGAGGAACUGUAAUUUCCCAAAUGGUGGAAGUUGUUCACAGUUGCCACAUGCUUUUUAGCUUCAUCUCUACUAGAUUCGGUAGCAUCAAGUUCAAGUUCAUCAUCCACUUUGGAAAUUUUGAACCCCCAUAUCCAAUUAAUCUCAAUUUCUUCAGAUUUGAAUGAGGUUGAAGCCCAUCAAGGACAUCCUCAUUAUUUUCAGCUGAUUGCACACAAGUAAAAGGGUGACCUCCAUUCUUAUUCCAAGAUAAAUGCAGUGAUAGAAGAGUUGUCUUCAACUUCAAAUUGGCACUUCUGGCAUCUGUUAAAUUCUUAACAUUAACAAGAUCUGUGAUGCUUAGUUCACCAGCAAGAUUAUUCAGCCUUUCUAGCUCCCCUAAGUGACGACCAUCCUCCUUACCCACAAUGAACAGGCCAAGUUUUCGCAGGCAUGUUAAUUGCCCCAUUCCAAAUGGCAUAAAUCGAAGUGAAUAACAGCCCGUGAUGUCAAGAUAGAUGAGACUUUUCAUAUGCUUCAUACCUCUAGGUAAUUGGAUGAGCUGUGUACACUGACUCAGAUUUAGUGUCUGAAGAUUUUGGAGGGAGGUGGUUGAUGCAGGCAAUUUUUUAAUGUUGGAAUUGGAGACAUCUAGAAACCUUAGAUGUUUCAAAUAACAAAUUGACUUUGGCAAUGUAUUGAGAUAGAUACCUAUAUGCAAGGCUCUCAGAUGCUUUUGUUGGGUGAAAUAAAGAUGCAAAUCAUCACUCACAGUGUGAUGAUAAACUCCAGAAAGCAAAAUUGAGCGUAGUGACCGAGAUUUGAAAUCCUUGUCUUUUGGAACAAACUGUGAUGUCCUGUAUGCACCCACAUGACGAAUUGUUUUAGGAAUUUGCAACUUUGUAUUGCCCUCAAUCAAACAACAUUCUCUCUUCAUAAUGUACUGUGCAAGAUCAUGGAUAAGAUCGUGCAUUUUACAUGAUAUGUUGCCCAGCCCAUCAUCCAUGACUUCUUGAAAAAAAGACCUCCCAACUAAUUCGUGGAAAAUCUCUUCACCCUUAUCGUGCAAAUCCAUUUGCCCAAUGCACGAAAUGAAGCCAUUUGCCAUCCAUAGAGCUACCAACCGCUCCUUCCGAAUGACAUAAUCUUUGGGGAAUAUAGAGCAAAAUGCAAAGCAUUGCUUCACAGCUGGCUUUAGAUUCAUAUAACUCAAACUCAAGGCAGGUAAUAUCUGGCUUCCUUCAUUCGGCAGAUCCCAAAUCUCACUUUCUUUCACAGACAGCCACUCCCUUUCAAUUUUCUUCGAGCGCAUCAGGCUUCCGACUGCUCUUAUAGCCAACGGAACUCCGCUACACUUGUUAACUAUCGCUGCUCCAAUGUUUUCCAAGUGACCAUACUCCUCUCUCCUUCUCAUACCAAAUGCAAGCUGCUUAAAUAAAAGCCAGGAAUCCUCAUCCGACAAUGUUUCCAUAUGUUGAACAGGAUUUGUGGCCAUUUUUUCUGCCAUAGUUCCCAAACGAGUAGUCACAAUAACUGCACUUCCUUUAGCUCCACAACUCAAUGCAUCUUUCAACUUGCUCCAGUUAUCAUGGUCAUCAUCCCAAACAUCAUCCAAUAUGAGCAAAAACUUCGUACCACGUAACUUUUCUUGGAGGCAUCGUAGAAGAGCAUCCAACUGUUGAAUAUUUGGAGUAGUGCGUUGAAUGGACUCGAUGAUGGCUGUUGUCAAUCUUUUUAUGUUGAAAUCAACUGAUACGCACACCCAAAUCCGCAAAUCAAAAUGCCCUUCUAUUCUUCCGUCGUUGUAGACUAAUUGAGCAAGUGUUGUUUUACCCAAGCCCCCCAUUCCACAUAUAGCAUAAACAGAGAAAUCAUCUGAACUGGUGAGCAGCAUGUUGACCAGAUCUUCUUUCUCCUUGCCCCUUCCAUAAAUUUCUGAUUCAUUCACCCAUGACCAAGUCUGACGCCAAUCAAAACUAUCUGCUUCUAUCUCCAAAGCCCCUUCUAUUAAAUGGAAAUUGUGUCUCUCCUUGGCAAUGGCAUCUAGUUUUUCUCUAACAUUCUUCAAUUUAUGCACCAUUUUUUGUCGAAAAACAAGUGGAUUAUGAUUGAUAGAAAAGAAGGAACUAACUCGAUAUUUGAGAUCUCUUGGCUGCUGAUGCCACUGAGCUUCAAUUGCAAACUCAUCUAGCAAAUCAUCAGCGUCAUAAGCUGCAUCCUUGAUGUCUCUGAGCCACACCUUUAUAGGCUCACUCUUCCACUGCUUCUCCUCUGCAUCUUGCAGCACAGCUCGAAUAGUUCUGAACGUGCGGUUGAGAUUUUCAAGCUCGGUCUCUAGGCCCCCAGCAAGUCCAAGCUCUUGAAGAAUUGGGGAAUUCAAGUUCCCCAUGAUUGUACUCGCGACAGCAGAAAUAAUUGCAUCAGCCAUAGCUUGUUAUCGAAUGGAAAAUAAUUGGAUGUUGACAAGAAGUAGAAAAUGUGCAAGGAUAACCAAAAGCAGGGAUGAGGAAACAGAGCAGUGUGGGAUGAGAAAUGGCAAAGGUGAAAGUGUAUGGUGAUGAGCUUUUCUUCUACUAUCGAUCUCUUUUCAUUAGUGAUUGAUAAUGUGAUGGAUCCAUUUCAUUAUUAGUGAUCUCUUCGCUGCAGUUUCAGAGAAGGAACGUGGCUGUGUUUGCUUAUUGGUUAGUAAAAGUCUUCGUCCCGCACUGGCCAGGCCGCUUGGGCUCCACACGGAUAUUAAGUAAUAUUCUAAAAGUAGUUUCCCCGCGCCUUUUACUUAUUCUACUGUACACAUAACCCGCAAUGUUGCGGAUUACUUUUUUAUAAAAAAUAUUAAAAAAAUAAAAAUUUAAAAAUUUUGAGUUUUUCUGCAAAGCUAUACUAAAAAAUCUUGAGUUUAGCUGCAACACUUAAUCUAAGAGUAAUAUUUAUAAUGUUAAUAAUAAAAUUAAACUUGCAUGAUCCAAGUUUAAGUUAGUCUGGCUGCAACAUCGGACCCAAGAAUAUUGGAUGUGGGUCUGACUAUAAGAUCGUGUCAUAAAAAUAUGAUAAUUAAAUAGAUUAAUUAAAAAAAUAAAGAAAAAAAAUCAAUAGAAAGAAAAAAACUAAUAAAGAAAAAGAAAAAAAAUGAAUUAAUUAGGUUAACCCUUUAAACCAGGUUAUCCCGUAAAACCUGAGAUUCACGUCAUAAAAGUUUGAUAAUUAAAUAGAAAAAAAAAUGACGGGUUUACCCAGAAUUAACUGGGUUAACCUAUCAAAUCAAGUUAACUCGUCAAGCCUAGGAUACGUGUUAUGAAAGUAUGAAAGUCUGAUAAUUAAAUAGAAAGAAAAUUAACUUUAACAAACUAAACUAAAUGAAAAAAAUAACUCGUCAAAUCAAGUUAACCUAUCAAACCCGAGAUCUGUAUUAUGAAAAUCUGAUAACUAAAUAAAAAAAUUAUCAUUAACAAACUAAAUCAAACAAAAAAAUUCAUUAAAAAAAUUAAAAAGAAAAAAAUAGUUAUAUAAUAUAAUAAUAAUAACAAUAAUAAGUAAAUAUAUUAGUAAAAGGCGUGACAUGCCCGCGCGAUGCCGCGGGCUUGUGGCAUGCUUAUACAUUAUCGUGGAUUUGUGAAAAAAAUCAUAUAAAAAAAUACAGUUAUCAUCCACAAUAUUUUAAAGGAAAAAACUACAAAGUUAUAUUCUCAACCAGCUCAAUAUUAAAAAAAACAAAAUCGACAAAAACAAUUAUGAAAAAAAACACACAAAAAAUGAAAACAAGAAGAUGACAAUUUUGGAAGAAAAAAGACAAAAAACAAAUAAUAAAAAAUAGGAAAAAAAACAUGUGGGGAAAGUUAAAGCUAAAUUUUCAACCAGCUUAAUAUUAAAAUCAUUUAAGAAAAUAUUGUAGCAAUUUAUAGUAUUUUGUAAAAAAAUAUAUAACUAUAAUUCUUAAACAGUUCAAUAUUAAAAAAAAAUUAAUAAAAAUAAUUUUGAUGGAAAAUAAUUGGAUGUUGACAAGAAGAAGUAGAAAAUGUGCAAGGAUAACCAAAAGCAGGGAUGAGGAGACAGAGCAGUGUGGGAUGAGAAAUGGCAAAGGUGAAAGUCUGGUGAUGGUCUUUACUGUUGCUAUUGAUCAAUUCUUCAUUACAUUAAAUGAAGGACGAAUUUUUUGCUUUUAGAAGUUGUGAUGUGAGCUUUAAACAAAUUAUAUGUUUGAAAAAAACCUACCAUACCUCCUAAGAAUGUUUUUAGCAGUGUGGUAACUGUUAUUUUUCAAAUAAUUUUUUGUACCGAAAGGUACGUCAAUGAUUUUUUUAUUUUUUAAAAAUUAUUUUUAACCAUAUUAAAUUUUAAUAAAAAAAUAAAAAAAAAAUUUACAUCUUAGAAACACAAGUUGAACCGUGUUUCCAAUCACUGCCUAAGCUGCCGUCCUUGACUAUUAUAUUGAUUAGGCUCCACACGGUCGAGACUUGACUAGCUGUGCUUACAAUAAAGCAAUUCAAUUUUCAAAGAAGGAACAUGGCUGUGAUUUGAAGACAAGAUUUGUCUGCCGGUGUGAACCCAAACUUUUGUUCAAAAUGUGAGCCAAAAUCCAAUCUAAAUUAAUUUAGUAUAUAAAAAAGUUGUAUUUUUUUUUUGUAGUUGUUAUAAUUCUCUCUCAUCAAUUAAAAAAUUUUAAUCUUUAAUAUUGAAUUUUUAGGUUUAAAAAAGGUAAAAAUAACAAGUAAGCAAUUCUUUUUCAUGUUUGGUUUGUUUAUGAAAAAAUUAAGAUUUAUAAAGAUUUGAAGUUUAUGUUUUUAAAAUGAAUUCAUGAUUAUUAUGAAUUUGAGGUUAAGUGAUUAAUUUUGGAUGUGUUGUUAGAAAUAAAAAUUUGUGAAUUAAUUUGUUAAGGGUUAAGAAAUUCGCUUCAACUUUGCUAGAAAAUAUGGACAAAAUAAUUUUGAGGUUGAAGAUAAAGAAAUUGUAUUUUGGUCCUUGAUUUAUAAAAAUUACAGUGUAGUUCCUAAACAUUGAAAAAUUAUAAUUUGACCUGUAACUAUAUUUUGGGAUUCUGAGUGGUAUUAUUAUGAGGUUAAGGAUAAUGACUCUCAGUUUAAUAAUUGAUUUAGGAUAUUUUUAGUCUGGUCCUUUAAUUUUGAAAGUUUACAUUUUAAUCCCUGAACUUUAAAGAAAUUAUAGUUCGGUCCCUGGUUCAUUUCUAGAUAGAAUUGAAAAUGGUUUGUUGGUAAAAUUUCAAUAUGGUUAUGUAUUUACAAUUUGCUUCAAUUUUGGUAAAAUUUUGUUUUGGCUCGUGAUUUCUAAAAAAUGUUGUUUUAGUCCUUAAACUCAUAAGAAUAAACCUGGUUUUAUUUUAUGCAUUGGAAUAUAUUUAUUUGUUGUUUUGGGUUGUUUUUUAGUAUAUUCUGGAUAUUUGUUAUAGGCUCUCCUAACAAUCAUCAAUAAAAUUUUCGGGUUUUUCAUUUGAUAUUCCUUUUAGUUAUAUAUUUUCUAAGUGAGUGAAAUAAUCUUUUUAAUAUUUAUAUAGGUUGCUUUAUUUUCUGAAUACUGAUUUAUUCUUGAAUUUAUACUCGCAUUCUAUUAAACUAAAUUAUAUUCGAUAUGAUAUACAUUUCUUUGAUGAUUCUGCGAAUACCUAGCUGGUAAGAGAGGCAUCAACUUGUUGUGACCGAUCCUCCCACAAUGAUCAUUUUCGGGUGUCAUAUGAUCUUUGACAUAUAUUCAACUACUUUAUAAUAAUAUGCUUAAUAUGUGAUCCUCCACAAUGAUCAUUUCGGGUGUCAUCUGAUCACCUUCGGGUAUCAUCUGAUCUUUGACAUAUAUUCAACUAUUUUAUAAUAAUAUGCUUAGUAUGUAUAUGUUUAUCAAGAUAAAUCAACUUGCAAACUAUUAAUAUCUAAAAUAUAUAUUAAAUAUUAUUCCCUCAAUGAGUUGGUUGCACUCACCUUUUAUUUUUAAUAUUAUUUUAGGUUUUUAGUUUCUGUUAGCAAGUGGCCUUUAUUGAGUAUUCUUGCUUCUUCAAUUUUGAUUGAUAUGUCUUGCUUAUUUUAUAAGACUUUCCUUUUAGUUUUGAUUCGAUGUAUUAGACACUUCAUUAUUACUUUAUUUUAAUUAAGUUUAGAUUUUAACAAUGUAAUAAGUAUUAUGAAUUUUUUUUUUAAUUACUGAUAAGAAGUUUUGAACUAUCAUUUAGUUUUAUUAAUUUUGAAUAAUAUAAUAUUUUUAAAGAUAAUGAAAUGCUAUAAAUUUUUAGAUAACUUAUUCUUUUAAUAUGUUUAUUUUAAAACUUAAUGUAAAUGAAAUAUUCUUUUGACAUCGUUUCUAUAUUAUUAGUCAUGAACUCGGGAUUCAUAACUUGAAUUGCCUUGUUUGUUAGCAAACAUCUUCUUCUCUACUCUCAUUUUUUUUAAUCAAUGGCCAGUGGCCGUCGGUGACCCCAUAUCCAUGUAGCCAAGCUGCGCACUGGCCAGACCCUCGGAAACACCAAUAUCUUCCAGCGCUAGUGAAUGCAAGUUGCCCAAGAUUGUAAUUGCAAGAGCAGAAACAAGUGCAUCAGCCAUGUUUUUAGGGAAUCCAUGAUCGAAGAACAGUGCAUAGUGAACUUUUUUUUCCCCGGAUUUAAUUCAAAUAAAUGUGUUACCUUCCAAUUAAUCUGGUAAUUACAGAAGAAAGAAGGGAUCUUGAAUAACAAGAAGAACAACAGAAGAAAAGAAACAGAGAGAAAGAGAAACUUUUAGUAACAUUCAACACUGGUUUUUUUUUUUUUUUUUUUUUUAACAAAAUCAACAUUCAACUCACACCAUUAAUAUUGUAUAUUUUUUUUUUUGUUAAUCAUAGGUACCCCAUGUUAGCUUUCACAUACCAAACGAAGUCUUUACAACCCGAAAUCAAUUUUUACAUAAGAUUAAAUUGCAUGUUUGAAACGCGGUGAAAAUUAUAUUCUAAAACUUUUAAUUCUUUACUUAAGAUAAAUUUUUUAUAUAUUUUUAUUAUUUUGAUGUAUUUUAUUAAAAAUAAUUUUUUUUAAAAAAAUAAAAAAUUUUAUUUUAAUAUAUUUAUAUACAAAAAAUAUUUUAAAUCACCACCAUUAUUUCAAUUUCAAAAAGAUAAAGCCCUGUGACCCGUGGCCCUAAAAGAUUUAAUGCUAGAAAAAUUCAAACAGGAGAAAGCAAACCUCCAAGCCCAUAACUAAAUACGGCUAGACCAACUCUUUGAGUUUCUAUUUACAUUGUUUGCUUGCUAUUGAUACUUCAUUCAUGGACAGACCGGAGUCCAGCCUGACGUGCAGCAUCACGAACUUCAGGUUUCUCAGUUCGCCUCUUCUGUAUGAGUAUGACCUCCAAAGUAGCACCUACAAUAGACCUUGAGAAAGGCUUUUUUGUAGCACGACGUCUCUUCGUAAAAGUUUCAGCAGCAAUGUCCUGUAAUUAUUAGGAAAGUUGUAUCAAAAUCAACAUCAUGAGUUCUUAUCUAAAGGGAAACUCAUCCUACAAAUAGAAGUUAAUUGGAAACUACAAAAAAAUAGUCACCUUCUUAUGUUGCUUCCUGUACAUUCUGUCCAGGUUAACUUUGAGGGCUUCCACCUGCUGUGGAAGUAUCUCUUGCAUUUAGAGUUGGCAAAGAGGAAGACCUUAAUUGAUUGAAAAAGCACCACUUAUUAGUUUCAUGGAUUGUAUUGCAGAAGAUAUUAAAUAAAAACAAAACACAAUACGCCUUCGACUCCGAACUGCAAAUUACCUGGGAAUCUGAGCGAACGAAUCUGAUGCCCUUGCCAGGAUAUGUCUUCGCCCCACUGAACCGGCAGAGUUCAGUCCUGAAAUCUUCCAGACCAGACAAGUUUGAUGCUCGUCAUGAUAACAUAUUGAAAACCUCAGAUGAGAUCAUUUGCAUAUAAAAAUGCUUCAUUCCAAGACAUAUAAGUUUGAUGGUUAACAAUGGCGUAUCUAAAACCUCGAUGAGGUUAUUCGCACGGUCAUGACGAAUAUUCUCAGAGGUGCAUCAGAUCCUAAAACCCCUUGGCAGAGGUCCAAAAACCCUUUCAAGUGGUCACAGACAGCAGGAAACAAUGAACUCUCGUCCCAACUUCAACUUCAUUGAAGCCUUAGCCAUUCUGUUCUCUUUGCUAUGUUUUCACUAGAAGCAUAUUUAUGGAAGAGAAAUCAUGGAUCUUUGGAACAACAUCUGCAUAAAUCUAAUUCAAACUCUAUCAUUGCAAUCCCUUUUGAAUUUCAUCACUUUUUUUUAAAAAAAAAAGUGCUAAAAAGAAUGUAAAGUUUCUGAGAGUUUUCUUUCUUUUGCCUUGUUAGGAAAUUCUUUAUUAAGAAUGUAUAAAAAAAGAGUAAAUGGAGCUUUGCUUUGUUCUAGAUGAGCAUCCAUGCAUGGUUUAAUAAGUAGAGAAUAAAAUCUUCCAUGAAAGCUUUAGUGUGAUAGACUUGAAUUACAACAAAGAAACUGACAAGCUGAGCACUAGAAAAGAUCAUUCAAGAUCUCAAUUAUGAAGGUUAAAACCAAAGCAUAAAGCAUAUUAUACAUUACAGCAAAAUCUAAUCGAUCAUAGUCCAAGAUCUUACAUUUAUGCUCACCCCCUAUCCUUGUGCAUAAAAACAAAAAAACAAAAUUAGGUUUAAAAGCUACUAUUUAAACUGUAUUACAUAUAUAUAUAUAUAUAUAUAAAAUUUCAUAUCAAAACCAUAUAAAAAAAAUUAAGAUCUUAAAUUUAUGCUCACCCCUAUCCCUAUUUUUUGUAAUCAAGAUUCCUGAAAAGUAUGAUCUCAAAGCUACCUAUGUUUGAGUGAUUUGUACCGUACCAAAAUUUUAAUUCAUGUGCGCUAACUUGAAAAGCAAAUGAUCUGAAAUCAAAAUGGAACACAUGACUAGUGUGAUUAUGGACAUGUUGCAAGAAAAGGUUUUUACUCAAGAAAUUACUCGAAAAAAAGGUGAAAGAUGUUGUUCGGACGUAUAUUAGGAAUUUUAAUGAUUAUCAAUUACAGGUUGAAAGCUUUAGAAAAUAUUAGUUUGGGAAGGUAUGUUCUUCCCAAACUAGCUUUACAAAAUGUUAGACGGAGAAAUAUUGCAUUUGAGCAGGAAAUUGUAGUUUUACACAUAGUUUUAAAACCCGGACCGGCCCGGCGGAUUGACCUGGGACCCGGCCGACCCGGGCAUGGGACCGGUCUGGGUGGAGGUCAAAACCCGCUUGGGAAUUGGUCCGGCCAGACCCGGUCGACCCGAGACCCGGCCGCAAACCCGUUAACUUUUUUUUUUUGUUUUUUUUUGUGUUAAAACGACGUCGUUUUGAUUUUUUAAAAAAAAAUUAAAAAAUAAAUUUUGACCCGGCCGACCCGGUCAAAAUCCGAAACCCAGGCCUUAGACCGGGCCGGGUCUUAAAACUAUAGUUUUACCUUUUCUUACUCUUGUUUCAAGAAAUUUGAAGUACUCUUCUAUUUGUGAAUAAUUUAAUAUUUCUUUAAGUGUAUUUUUUAUUAUUUCAUGUCAAAACCAUAUAAAAAAAAACAAUUAAAAGGGCACAGUUUUGAUAUUUUUAUGGAAAAAAUUAAUUAACAAAAUAUUUUCAAUUAUAUUACUAAACAUGCAUCUAAGCGACAUGACUCACUUGUUUUUGGUUGGUGCAUGUUACAUACGUUAAUGACCAUUAAUAAUUUUUUUUUAUUAUUGAAUUUGUUUUAUUGAAUUUUUUUUAAUUAUAUUAAAAAUAUUAUUAUUAAAGUUUCAAUGUGUUUUCAAUUCUCUUUUCUCUUUCUUGUUGAAGUUUGUAAAACUAUUUUUUAUGUAUUUUUUAAAUAGAUGCACUUUCUAACUAUAAGAAUUUGAAAAAAUCACAAGUGGAAAUUGCUAUUUACAUCAAAUUAGAAUAAUUUUAAAAUAUUUUUCUUUGUGUUAAUUAGCUAUUUAAAAAAACAAAAAAAAUGUGAUUUUAUUUUUAAAAAACUCCCAUCUUAUAGCAUUGGAUUAGGAUAAAGGUGCUUUCAAAAUUUGUGCGUAGAAUAUGUUCUUUCUAAUAUUCCGAUCAAUGACCAUCCAAUGGGUUUCUUGUAACCAUCAUCAAUCCAAUAUUGGAGAUAAGGUUUCCAGAAUCAUAAAGCCCUGCCGUUUUGGCACCUGAUGCCAACAUUAUUGGCCUACAGAAAGACAAUCAAAACUACUAAAGGCCAAUCACCGCCAUGCGAGUAAAGAUAUGUUUCGGAUUGAGUUUUGAAAAUAUUUUUGAAAAAAAAUGAUUUUUUUUUUAAAAAUCAAGGUAAUAUAAUGGGUCAUGUAUACAAAUAAAAUUACUGACAUAACUGAUUUCGUUUGUAAAAUCCAUCAAUAAAUUCAUUUGUAAACUGUUAACUUCUUCCUGACACUGUUUAUCAUGUCAAUUAUAAAGAAAAUCAUUGACAAAAUAUUCUUUUGAUAUUUCUUAGAGAACUUUGCAACUAUUUACUUUCCAAUUGCACUAUUAAUUAUUAUUUUUUAUAGAUAAAAUCACUGACGGAUUGAAAAUUUAUCGGUGUUAUCUGGCGGGUUUCUGAAAAUCUUUUAUUAAAUUAAAUAUUACAGACGAAAUCACCGAUGGAUUGAAAAGUUGUAGGUGAUAUUUGGCGGUUUCUGAAAAUUUUGUAUUAAAUUGAAAAUUUAAAUUAACUAUUACAGACGAAAUAAUUGACGGAAUGAUUAAAAAUAUUAAUAUUUAAUUAUUCAUCUGUAAAACACCCAAUAAAAAGACUAGAAUCCUUUAUUUCACAAUAGACGUGCCUCUUUUUUCUUCUUCUUCUUUUUUUUUUUUUUAAAAAAAAACAUCAACAUCCCUUUCUUUCUCUUCUCUCCUCAACUCCUUAUUUAUUUAUUUAAACGCUGCUUUUCAUUUUUAUUUUAAUGCUAUGUUUGUUUAUGAAGUUGCAUCUGUGUUUGAAGCAAAACACAGGAGUAACAUAUUUGAUAAUAAAAAAAACAUCAUUUACUGUUUAUGGGCCCCAUUGUUAUCCACCUUUGCAACGCAGAAUGAGACAAAGUAGCUCUUCGCUGCUUUUGUGGAGAGUGAAAAGUGGAGGGUGACUCCACUAUUCCGGUUGGAAUGGGUCCAAUUCAAAGCUAAAAAUGCAUUGAACCGGAUCCGAUCCAGUAAAAUAAAAAAAUCAUUUUUUUUAUUUUUAAUUGUGUUUUAUUAAAAAAAAAUUAGUGUUUUAACAUUAUUCAAUGACAUUAUAUAAAUUAUACGGGGAUUGCUUAAUGACGUAAUAUUUGUAGAAUUUGAUCAUAAUCCUAAUUUUAUUCAUGAUGUUGUUGUGCGCUUAAGAAACCAAGAAAACUGUAGUCAUUGUUGAAUGUAUUUCAUAUGUAAUGGAAUUGUAGAUAGUUUAAUGGAACAAUAAAAAAUAUUUUAUAUAAAGUAUUAUUUAUUUUAUGAUGUAAUAACAGUAAUUAAAUCUACAAUAUUUAAAUUAAAAACCAUCAAUAGUAAUAUAUAUUUUUUGAAAUUAUUUUAUAAUCUCAAUUUGAAAAGCAUUCUUAACCAAAUACAUUAAACUAUUUUUUAGUUCAACUUUAAUUUUAACCAAACAUAUAUAAAUAUCAAACCAACCUUAACUAAAAAUACUUUUUAUAAAAUACAUUUUUCAAACCACAACCAUAAAAGCUACCACAAUACCAAACACACUCCAGGUGUGUUUAUUUCUUGGAAAGUGGUUUCCCAGAAAUCACUUUCCAAACUUUCAUGUAUUUAUUUGCCAUUAUGAAAGUUGAUCAACAGAAAACACUUUCCAGUCAAAGAAAAAUUUGGCUUGGUUUCCAGGAAAGUGUUUUCCUUUUAUUUUGGGCGAAAAACACUUUCCGGAAGUUGUGAAAAAUUUAGAAAUGUCAUAUUAUUUGUUGAUUAUAUCAAAUUUGGUCCUCAAACUUUUGAUUGCUAUAUAUAUUUUGUUUUGAAUAUUUGUUUUUCAAUUUCAUCCCUUAGAAUUGAAUUUUUAUAUAAACUUUGGUCCUCAUUUUUAUUUUGCUUUUCCCUUAUUAUUUUUUAAUUGGAAUUUUUUAUCUAUCAAAUCUGGUCCUCAUUCUUUUGAUUGUUAUUUAUUUUAUUUGAAAUAAUUUAUGAAAUGAUAAUUAUUAUUAUUUUAAUUUCUUCAUCUUUUUAUUUUUUUAUUUUUUAGAUUUGAUCUCUAUUAUUUUGAUUAUUAUUUAUUUUAUUUGAGAUAAUUUAUAAAAUUAUAUAUAUUUUUUUAAUUUCAUUCUCAUUCAACUUUUUAAUUUGUAAGAUUUAUUCCUCAUUAUUUUAAUAAAUUUUAAAAAAUAAAAUAUUAAUAAGUUAUUUUCCAGCUCAUUUUCCAUGACAUAACCAAAUACUAAAAAGUAUUUUCUAAUUUAUUUUUCAUGAUACUAUCAAAUAUUGAAAAAUAAUUUAUUUUUCUAAAAUUUAAUUUUUUUUAAAAAAUUUACUUUUCAGUAAAUAAAUAGGAACUUAACUGACACCUCCCAAGUCCUAACGGAUAUCAUGGACCCGUAGGGUAGAUAUUGCCCCUUAGGAUCUUGCUUUCUUCUUCUAAGGCCCGCAUGUUGAUAUUGACCAUCUUGGGCACUUAUGGAACUUGGCCUGGGUUGACAGGUCGACCUGCGACCUGUUUACCCGGGCAUUCAAACUGGAUUGGAAAUUAAUUUUGUUAAACAAAGGUGAUAUGUUCUAUCAAUUCAUAAUUAUCGAUUCGAUUGAUCUAAUUAAUUUUUUUUUAUAUAAAAAACAACUUCGUUUAUUUAUGUUUAUUUAAUUAUUUAUAACUUUUUAUGCCUAAACGAGCCUGGACUUGGAUCGAAUCAGAUGACGAGCCUGGUCUGAUAACUUAGCCUUGAAGUUUAUUCUGUUAGAUCAUUAUUGUUUACUGUGUUAGGCAACAGAUAUCCCUCUAUUCAUACUCAGCUUAAUUUUUCAAUUUUGACUUUUAAAAAUAUGGAGAGAUAUAUGUCAAAUUCCGAUCGGUUCUGAUUUUAAGGAAAAAUAAAAAUUUAUUAAGAAUUCAAAAACAAAUUCAAAAAAUGCUAUUUUUUAUAUAAUUUGAAAAAAUAUAUAUUCUAAACUUUGUUUUAUAAAGCUAAAAAAUUACUAAAAAAUAUAUUUAAUUUAUAUUUAUGUAUACGAUAAUUGUUAAUUUAUUUAAUACUUGUUAAUUUAUUUUUUAACUUUAUUUUAUAAAGCCAACAAUGAUUAAAAAAUAUAUUUAAUUUUUAUUUAUUUAUACUAUACUUGUUAAUUUAUAUAACACUUUUUUAUGUCUUCAUCAAAAUUUUCGUGAAAAAUUAAAUUGAAAAAUCAUGGCUAUGAAAAAUAAACAAUACUCAUUUACUCCCUCAAAUAUGUUUCAUCAGUAAAUCCAUAAUUUUUCUUCGCUGAAUAUCAUUAGAUUUUCAUAAAAAGAUAUGAUUAUAAAGGUGAACAUCUUAGUGAUUUUUUAAAUUUUAUUAUUAUUUUUAGAGUUCUAAAUAAGAUUUUCUUUAAAUUAGAACCAAUAGAAAUCUAACUCGUGUUCUUCCAUAUCUUUAAAAGACAAAAUUAAUGAAAUAUUAGGCUUACUCUGAACAGAGAGAUCUAUACUGCCUAGUAGACAAAAUCAUAGAAACCCAAUUAUAUAAAUUUAAACCAUAAGGAUAUCUUUAUCAAAUAUCAAUAUAUCAGAGAGAUUCAUAGUACCAUUAAACCAAAGUUACACCUAAACUUGUCAUGCAAUAAAACACGUGCAUAUUCAUACAAUAAAAAUAAUAAAUAGACGUAUUUCUCCCUUUCUAUUACAAAGAUCAUUGCAAUACUUAGUAGAUGUAAACGGAAGGGAUGUGAGCUAUCUUAGGCCAGUCUUCUCCUCGCUCCUUCUCGCACCUUUUCUUCAAAUUUGGACAAUUUUCAAUUAUCAAGUCGCUGAGGUUGCUGAGACUCUGUAGCCCUUCUGGCAAACAUACCAAAUUAGGGCAUAUACAGAGUGUUAGAGAUCGGAGAGAAGUAAGAUGUUGGAUACUCUUUGGCAAUGAAUUCAGCUCUGGACAAAGUCUAAGCUCCAAAUCCUCAAGUACUGUCAGAUAUUGCACUCCCUCGGACAGAGACACAAAUUUAUCACAAUUGCUAACAGAUAACUUACGAAGAGAUGAUAAGCCGGACAACCCAUUCAUUGGCAGAGUGUAUAAUCUUGUACAACUAUCUAUCUCUAAAACCUCCAAAGAAGUGAGUUUUCGAAGACCUUCCUCUGGCAAGCUUUCAAGUUCAUCAAAAUGCCGGAUACUCAAGCUUUUAAGAGCUGAAAGGUUGUCAAAUACCUUAUUUGACAAAGACGGCAGAUUUCUCAUCCCAACCAUAUAUAAGAACUCGAGGAGUGUAUGAUUUUGCAAGAACCCAUCUGGAAGCAGCCUCACAUCAAUCCAUUCAAUAGAAAGGAAUGUGAUAGAAGUAAAUUUCAUAACUGACAUCAGUAACGAAGCAUUGCCUCUAUCGAUGAUUAACCUUUUGACGGAAGGUAUAAUUGGUAUUUCGGUCAACAAGGGGCAACGAACUACAGAUAAUUCUCGAAGACGAGGAAAACUACACGGAGCCCAUUGCUCUAGUCUCUUCAUUGAAAUAAAUUUCAGCCUCUCCAAAGAUGGGAAUGGAUUUUGCUCAUCUCCA
rnacentral:lncRNA from 1 species